AGCGCAACCCCUGUCCCAUGUUGCCAGCAUUCAGUUGGGGACUCAUGGGAGACUGCCGGCGUCAAGCCGGAGGAAGGUGGGAUGACGUCAAGUCAUCAUGCCCCUUAUGUCCUGGGCUGCACACGUGCUACAAUGGCCGGCACAAUGGGCUGCGAUGCCGCGAGGCGGAGCGAAUCCCAUAAAACCGGUCCCAGUUCGGAUCGAAGGCUGCAACUCGCCUUCGUGAAGUCGGAGUUGCUAGUAAUCGCGGAUCAGCAUGCCGCGGUGAAUACGUUCCCGGGCCUU
rnacentral:rRNA from 1 species